rnacentral:rRNA from 1 species
UUUAAUUGCCAUCAUUCAGUUGGGCACUUUAAUGAGACUGCCGGUGACAAACCGGAGGAAGGUGGGGAUGACGUCAAGUCCUCAUGGCCCUUAUGGGUAGGGCUUCACACGUAAUACAAUGGUCGGUACAGAGGGUUGCCAACCCGCGAGGGGGAGCCAAUCCCAGAAAACCGAUCGUAGUCCGGAUUGCAGUCUGCAACUCGACUGCAUGAAGUCGGAAUCGCUAGUAAUCGCGGAUCAGCAUGUCGCGGUGAAUACGUUCCCGGGCCUU